rnacentral:lncRNA from 1 species
CGAAAUCCUUUUAAUAAAAAGAUUGAAAUUCAAAGCUUUCUAAACCAAAUACCAAGCAUCGAAAUCUGUUUAGAAAAUCUUCUACAAAUCAAAAACUAAAGAUCGGUAACAAAAUUAACUCUCAGUUCGCUCACUCAACCUUCAAAUGAUACUCCUAACAGUCACAGCACUAGAUAGCAGUGGUGGAAAGGAACAUAGCCGUGGUUUAGAAGCAUUUCAAUUGAAUAAUCAAAGAAAAGAUGACAGCUUACGAAAAUCGUACUUGAAAAUAUAAGUUCUCGAGGGAUAACUUUAGGGUGCGUUUGGCACACUGUAUUGUAUUAUGCUGUAUUGCAUUAUUUUAAUGCUGGUGUAUUUUAUUAUGUUGUAUUGCUUUAGCAUUGUAUUAUAACAAUAUUGUACAAUAUUUGAUGCUACAUUGUACUGUAUUAAUUUUUAAUUAAA